CAUUGUCACAAUGUCACAUUGGUGUUAAGUUAAUGGCGUUAUUAAUUUGCUUAUUUGUCCAGCUUUUGCAACUAAAACUGGAAUUACAGUGUGACGAUAAAUAAUUCGAAUUGCGAGCCCCGAAGAUCGAAAUGAUAUUCAUUUUGGAUACGUUUGGUGGAUUGUUGAACGAGACGUUCGAAAGACUGAGACCGGUGUGUUUCCGGUAUAAAAGUAAAACUAAUGAUGAAGAAGCUACCUAGCGAAUCGUGAUAAUUUCCCAAAGAUGCGAAAGCAUCCUCGUGUACGCGUCCAAAAUCCAAAGGGUCAAAAGAGGUCAAUCGGUUUGUUGAUAUGAUUUGGAAUUGGAAUUCAUCAACUUUGCUCGGACCUCAACAGAAAUACGAUCUUCUUUUAAUGAACGAAUUACGUUUCUGCCGAUCAGGCCCACUACGGAACUGCCCAGUAUCAGAAAAAGAACAUCAUAACUAAAAGGAUUUUAAAUUCGUGUAAUUCAAUAGACAUGACCGUGUUUUAUAGUAUCAUGUAAUUCAUGAGUCCACGUAGGAAGUAUCUUGCAGUACUUUCAAUUCACCAGUCUAAAAAGAAGCGAAUACCGAUUAUUGAUUCAGUAUUCUAAUACGAAACUAGUAUCGCUUCAUGGGCCGCACCAAAGAGCUCCCACGCUGAUAAAGUGCAAUCGAGAAAGUGCAGGUGUGCAGGUAGAUAAAAAAAACACAUAGGUAAUAAGAAUUCUUAAUAUCUGAAAAAUAAUGUUCGUCUUACCUAAGCGUCUUAUACAAUGUAUAUUAUGUAAAAGAUGAUGAUACAAAUUAAUUGGUGAGUGAAUACGUAGUUAUCACUCAAUGCAUAAAAUUAAAUUAGUUUUCAAUGAGGAAAAUUCACCAUGAUAAAUACACUUCUCAUCACAUAUUGUUAAUAUUAAUUUAGAAUUUACCACCGAUGAUGUCAUGCUUGAUUUAUGUCAAAGUUGUAUUGAAUUUUGAAUUUUUUCAAUUUUAUAUUUAAAUUUCAAAAGACAAGAAUUUCGUUACAUUUAUAUAUUAUAUAUAUUUCAGGUAAAAUCGUAUAUACGAAUACGACGUGUACGUUGACAUCAUUUAUAGGAAGGUACAUACAAAAAAUUUGUAUUCCUACUUACACAGGGAUCUUUAACUUAGCCACUUCAAGGUAUUCCGAUGAUAUAAUUAUUGAUUUAUGUUGAAAUUGUGUUGAAUUUUGACAUUUUUAUGCAGCUUCUGUUAAGUUUGCAUUUGCGUUACUUAUUAGAAACGUAAAUUAAAUCAUUAUGAAAAGCAGGAUGAGAAGGUUAUAACCUACCUUUGAAUGCAUUCAGACUACUUUUUAUCAAACUUUCGCUUUUCUUAUGACAAGGAAUUAUCAUUUAUUUGUUAAUUUCCUUCAUUGAAAUUUCUAGAAAAUAGAAUAACGUAACUGCACCAGUAAUCGGCAAUGCAAAAAUGGGACCCAGUAAUCGGCAUAAUUAUUUUUUAAAACAGAUGUAGAAUCUGUACUAUACUGAUCGGCAUAUCUACUGCAGAUUAUUGGUGCAAAAGUUGCUUGAGGAGUUGAUCAUUUUUUUAAAACAAAUUGAUGUUGAAUUCAAAAUAUAAUUUUUGUAAACAGUAGAGUGAGAAAAAAUGACGUUUUUGACCAGUAUUCGUCAUAGCAUUCAAUGUUUAUUUGGUGUAAUUCACUGAUGAAUUUUGCUUAAUGUAUGCUACUCGUUGGGUCACUAGGCUGUUGAUUAUUUUCAUUUAUUUAAAAAAAAUUUUAAUCUACAUAGAACAAAAACCUAUCUAAUCUUUUGUAUUUGUUUUUCAUUUCUUUUUUUCUGAAAUAAUUUUUAUUUCACCCAUUUGAAUUUAUUUGAAAAAUUUCAACAAUGUGUAUAAGAUCACAUGUCCGAUCUGCUGAUAACUGGUACAUAUGAAAAUUCACGUUUUUCUACUGAAAAGCUUCAGUGAUUAAUUAAUUUUGGCCAAAACAAACCUGGAAAUCAUUUUUUUGUGAACCCAAGUGCUUAAAUUAUGCUUUAAAAGUAAAAAAUCUGACAAUCCUUUCAUAAUUUCUAAAUAAAAUACCCUCAAACUUGAAAAUUUGAAAACUCCGAUUCUUGACUGCCGAUUACUGGUGCAGCGUUAUGCAGUCCCCUUCGUAAUCACUUUUUUUUUAGAAACUAGUGUAAUCAAUAAAUAUGCGUUUACAUUUAAUAGAACAUUCUCCUAAUUUUCCGAGAGUUAUUUUGCAUAAGUUACAUAUCCAAAUAUGUAUCUUGAAAUAAUUGAAAUUAGGAGAUAUCCUAAAAAAAAAAAAAAAAAAAAAACAUUGAAAUAUUUCUUCUUUAAGAUUUUAUUUUUCAAAGUGUUCUUAUGCUAAAUGAA